UAAUCUGUCUGCGUCUGCUAAUUUGAUUUGAAAUCGAAUUAAUAUUAUUUGUUUGAUAGCUUUGUUAAAGAAAGGAUAGUGAUAAUGCUGUUAUUUUGUUAUUAGUAUAAGUCUAACAUAGCCAUUUAGUCUGGUAAUAGGCCUAUAUCUUUUGGAACCGACGUGACAUCAUUAGCCUAUGUUAGCAAUGCUUUUCGUACCGGUAACUUACUGGAUCCAUAUGAAGCCCUAAGUCCAUAUGUACGUCUAACUGUGGUUUUAUGACAAGAUAUAGAUUAUUGCAGAUGGAUAUUAAUACAUAAACAUCAGAAUAUGGGGAACCUUAAAGAUAGUAACGGACACAUUAUAAGUGGGACAUCAAUUUGUGUUGACUACUGGGUGUCGUCACCAGAAAAGAAAUUUGACCACUUCUUGACUCAUCUACACGCUGAUCACACGGUCGGAUUGAAUUCAUCAUUUGAAGGAACCAUCUACACGUCCCC